rnacentral:rRNA from 1 species
AUUGAACGCUGGCGGCAUGCUUUACACAUGCAAGUCGAACGGUAACAGGUCUUCGGAUGCUGACGAGUGGCGAACGGUGAGUAAUGUAUCGGAACGUGCCCAGUAGUGGGGGAUAACUACUCGAAAGAGUGGCUAAUACCGCAUGAGAACUGAGGUUGAAAGCGGGGGACCUUCGGGCCUCGCGCUACUGGAGCGGCCGAUAUCAGAUUAGGUAGUUGGUGGGGUAAAGGCCUACCAAGCCGACGAUCUGUAGCUGGUCUGAGAGGACGACCAGCCACACUGGGACUGAGACACGGCCCAGACUCCUACGGGAGGCAGCAGUGGGGAAUUUUGGACAAUGGACGCAAGUCUGAUCCAGCAAUGCCGCGUGCAGGACGAAGGCCUUCGGGUUGUAAACUGCUUUUGUACAGAACGAAAAGGCUCUGGUUAAUACCUGGGGCUCAUGACGGUACUGUAAGAAUAAGCACCGGCUAACUACGUG